AGGAAUCAAAUGGUUUGUGGUAGUGUCAGAAUUUGCACCUAAGCAUGUUGAUUAAAGUUAGAUUAGUGAUGUUUAGAGUUCAUUACUUUUCUUUUGUGGGGUACAAAUUCACAGUCCAAAAUUGCUUUGAAAAAAGUGUGUACUUUUUACUAUAUUAUUUCUUUGGCAUUUCAUUAUUAAACAUAAUUAUACUAAUUGUUUCUUUGAUAUGUAUGUGUACUAAAUUAUUGGCUAACUGGUAUAUUGACUGACACCUUGAUGUCUUGACAGUUUGGGUUUUGGUCCCUUGUAUUAAAGAACUAAUUUAUGGUCCCUUGUUAUCUUUUGAAGUGAUCAUCUUGAUCGUCUUGUAUUUUAGGUUAACCACUGAUGUUAUAGCACCAUCCCCAUGGAAGAUUCACGUGGAAGGAUGGGAGAGGGCCAAUAAAUCCUAAGGGAUUGUAAUAUUACAAUAAUCUCAUCAAUGAACUAACAAGCCGAGGUUCUUUUGCAAACUAGUUUUACCUUAAAAAGUUCAAUUGGAGUUGUCAGCUGCAGAUUGGGAUCUACCACAAGCACUUGAAGACGAAUAUGGAGGAUGAGUUAGUCGAAGAAUUAUGUAUGGUUUGUAAACUAUAAGAUAUAGUUUGUUUUAUUUUAUCUUGUCUUAGAUAGGAGAUCAAAUUAAACAAACUAUAUCUAACACAUU